rnacentral:rRNA from 1 species
AGAGUUGAUCAUGGCUCAGGACGAACGCUGGCGGCGUGCCUAACACAUGCAAGUCGAGCGAGGAGAUUCCUCGGGAUGAUCCUAGCGGCGGACGGGUGAGUAACACGUGGGCAACCUGCCUCAUAGAGAGGAAUAGCCUUCCGAAAGGGAGAUUAAUACCUCAUAACAUUGCAGUUUCGCAUGGAACAGCAAUUAAAGGAGCAAUCCGCUAUGAGAUGGGCCCGCGGCGCAUUAGCUAGUUGGUGAGGUAACGGCUCACCAAGGCGACGAUGCGUAGCCGACCUGAGAGGGUGAUCGGCCACAUUGGGACUGAGACACGGCCCAGACUCCUACGGGAGGCAGCAGUGGGGAAUAUUGCACAAUGGGGGAAACCCUGAUGCAGCCAACGCCGCGUGAGUGAUGACGGCCUUCGGGUUGUAAAGCUCUGUCUUCAGGGACGAUAAUGACGGUACCUGAGGAGGAAGCCACGGCUAACUACGUGCCAGCAGCAGC